GCCAACGGCCAUAUCGCGUUGCAGAAAACCGAUUCUCGUCCGAUCAUCGAAGUUAAACAGCGCUGAGCGUGGUCAGUACUUGGAUGGGUGACCGCCUGGGAACACCACGUGCUGUUGGCU